AUCCCAAACUCAAGCAUGAAUUAAACUAACGGAAGAUAAAGGAGUAACGAAAUAGGGGUUAGAGCUUAUCCUCUCCAAGGAACCAUGGAACCCUCUGAAAUUUCUCCAAAACAAGCUCUAGGAUAUUUGGUAGGUGAAACUGAGGGCAAAUCCCGAAGUGGGGAACUAAAUACCUAAUUUGCUCCAGCGAUCGUGCAGAUGUGAGCCACUGCUCGCAGACGCGACGCCGCAUAUGCAGAAAAUACUCGCAGAUGCGAGCUCAUUAAAUCCACUGAAUUCCGCAGAAGUGGAGGGAAUCACGCGGAUGCGGGCUCGCAGAUGCGGCUCGCCGUUCGCUGGUGCGAGGCACCUGUACCUGAAAAUACUAAGUUUUUCACUUACUUCCAGAAAUCAACUAUAGGUCACCCUUACCCGCUAAUUCCACGUAGACGAUUCUUCAAUCCUCGGAAUAAAAUCAAGACUCACCCGAUUACUUCGGGAACCACAUUACCCAUCCCCGCGAGUUGAAUACUACCGAAGCAAAUCCCUAUGAAGGGUAUUUCGAGAAAAAGAGAAAAACACCCAUAACGACCAAGCGGGUUAGAUAAAUAUUAGUCUCAAUAGUAAGACCAAUUAUUUGUUAUUUGUUACUAUUGUUAUGAAUUCACGCUUCAAGUUAGAUUGUGCCGGAUCUUUCUUUGGUGAAAUUCGUGACAUUGCCUUAAAAAAAAAUUAGAGACUUUCAGUGUGGCGGAAUCUUUGGAUGAGUUAUAUCGUAAGUAUAGAGAUUAUAUACACGUGAACAAAAAGAAGUUGAAGAUUUAACAUCUAAUGAAGUUUCUCAGGACAUGGAUAUUGAAGAAUGUGAUAAAAGUUUAGACUUCUUUGAUUCUCAAUUCUCAAUUCUCAAAGCACGUGAAAUCGCUGAAAAAUAAAGAAUGCAUCAGAGGUGGUCAAAUACUUGAAUGACGAAUUGAUGAAACAAAGGUGAAUUUAAUCACUUGGCUUGGUAUAAAGCAACUAGAACACAAUUUCAUAUCAUCUCAAAGUUGGCCAAGGGUGUUCUUGUCAUUCCAUUGUAUAUUGUGUAUUGUAUCUAGUUAACAAGCCUCUAGCAUUGAUGGACGUGUAAUGAUUCAUUUAAGAGUUCUGCAACUCUUAAAACAGUGAAAGCUCUUAUUUGUACAUAUAAUUUAUUUGCGGUCUCUACUUCUAUAUCUUAAAUCAUUAAUACUGUUGUACUCUUUUGUGAUUUCUUAUCUGACGAAUUUGUGUGAAUAAAUUGAAGUUCCGGUGAGGAUAGGAGUUGUAAUUUCUUUACUUUAUUCCUGUAAGGUACAUGGAGCUUAAUGUAUUAGUGAACCAACUGCAACUUGAAGUUAGUUUUAUUGCAGUUGCUUAGGCUUGGUAUUGCACUCUCUUUGAGUCUGGAGCUAUUUAGCUUUUUUGGGUUAGCUGGUUGUAGGAGACAAAUAAUUUUGUAUUUUAAAUCCAUUUGAUAUUAGAUUUUACAAUCUUUUAAAUAGAAUCAACCGAUCACUCUUUUAUGGUAUGCACUUCUUCUUCCUUUCUAUUCUAUUGUAGGAAAAGAUCCUCUAUCUAUUAGCAUACCCAUACCAUCAAUUAGAGUAGCACGCUCCCCAAUCAAUACCAGCAAUUAGAGUAGCACUCUCUCCCCAAUCAAUACCAGUGACUAGCUGGUGCAACUACUCAGCCAAACGACAGUUCUGGAGUGGGAAUUGCUGAAACCAAACAGGAACUUAGCACUAGAGAGAGCUAAGGAAUUUGGGUAUAUAUUCAAAGGUAACAAUGAAAAUGUAGCCCUUAUGUUGGAAGAACAAAGGAAAAAAAAUGAUAUUUUCCCUUUAGCCUCGAAUGUUGCAUCACUGGCAAUAAUUUCACUAGCUCCCUCUGUUUCACUUAGACAAGUUGAUGAUAAUUCGACCGCUCAGGGUAGUUCUUAUAGUCGCCAAUUUGCCUUGGUGCCACAACUACUCGCAAUGAUGAAGUAGCUGGGAUUAUCCCUUUAAAGAGGAAUGCUGCAAUAUGGCAGAUUAAUUCAACAGCUCCCUCUGUUUCACUUGGGAUAAUUCGACUGCUCUAGCUAACCUCUCAUAAUCCCUGUGGUGUCAUCACUAUUCCAAAUGAAGCAACAGGGAUAUUAAGAAAUGAUCUUGCCUUGUCGGGGAAGGUGUAGUGUCAUUAUCUGAAAUGACUAAAAUGUUGCUUUGGUUUCAUCCCUCAAACCUUCUAACGGUAUGUCUAGGUAUAUGUAAGAUUAGGGAAUGCUAAUUUGUUGAAGGAAAUCGUUGCUAAUUCAUUUUGCAUGUUGAAUUCUACCAGAAUCCGAUGUCAUCGUCUUCCGCCUGUGAUGAAGGAUUGCUGAGUGCAAAAUCGCAGAUUGAAACUGCAGCCAACAGUAUCAAUGAUCUUGGCAUACAUGCACCAGUUUAUCACGGUGUUUUUAAGUUUAAAAGUCCUCAGGUAUUCAGAGAAGCUUCUGAAGAAGCCUGACCACUGCAGAGCGCUGUAUGCUUCAUAUUUUCACUGUGUUGAUGUUCAACACAAUACCAAGAAUGAACAAAGGUUAAUAACUGUACAAUGUGUGGUCACUUGGUUUCUCACGACAGAGAAAGAUCAACUCUUAUGAUCGUUGAGUUUCAUUACCUGUACGAUAUCUCGAAUUGGAAGAUGUAAUCAGAUGAAUGAUAACAUCACUCCCGUUGACUUUGGAGGACAUAUUUAGUUUUUAGAUUCUUAGUUUGGGUAGAUACAACUGAGGUGAUUGUACAAACUAUGCAUGCUAUAGCUUAGUGAAGUAAAUAAACUGCUCAAGGCUAUUCACUGUACUUAGGAAGAUACUAGCUUUGAUUGUCAUACUUGAAAACUUUUGCAGAUUUGGUUUUAGAAUCUUGGAACUCAAGCAUUUGAUAAAGUUGA